rnacentral:rRNA from 1 species
CCUACGGGAGGCAGCAGUGAGGAAUAUUGGUCAAUGGACGAGAGUCUGAACCAGCCAAGUAGCGUGAAGGAUGACUGCCCUAUGGGUUGUAAACUUCUUUUAUAUGGGAAUAAAAUGUUCCACGUGUGGGAUUUUGUAUGUACCAUAUGAAUAAGGAUCGGCUAACUCCGUGCCAGCAGCCGCGGUAAUACGGAGGAUCCGAGCGUUAUCCGGAUUUAUUGGGUUUAAAGGGAGCGUAGGUGGAUUGUUAAGUCAGUUGUGAAAGUUUGCGGCUCAACCGUGAAAUUGCAGUUGAAACUGGCAGUCUUGAGUGCAGUAGAGGUAGGCGGAAUUCGUGGUGUAGCGGUGAAAUGCUUAGAUAUCACGAAGAACUCCGAUUGCGAAGGCAGUUCACUGGACUGCAACUGACACUGAGGCUCGAAAGUGUGGGUAUCAAACAGGAUUAGAUACCCGGGUAGUC